UACGAAGGGGGCUAGCGUUGCUCGGAAUUACUGGGCGUAAAGGGAGCGUAGGCGGACUGUUAAGUUAGAGGUGAAAGCCCAGGGCUCAACCUUGGAAUUGCCUUUGAUACUGGCAGUCUUGAGUACGGAAGAGGUAUGUGGAACUCCGAGUGUAGAGGUGAAAUUCGUAGAUAUUCGGAAGAACACCAGUGGCGAAGGCGACAUACUGGUCCGUUACUGACGCUGAGGCUCGAAAGCGUGGGGAGCAAGCAGG
rnacentral:rRNA from 1 species